rnacentral:rRNA from 1 species
UCGGGAAUUUUGGGCAAUGGGCGAAAGCCUGAUCCAGCAAUGCCGCGUGCAGGAAGAAGGCCUUCGGGUUGUAAACUGCUUUUGUACGGAACGAAAAGGCUCUUUCUAAUAAAGAGGGCCCAUGACGGUACCGUAAGAAUAAGCACCGGCUAACUACGUGCCAGCAGCCGCGGUAAUACGUAGGGUGCGAGCGUUAAUCGGAAUUACUGGGCGUAAAGCGUGCGCAGGCGGUUCUAUAAGACAGAUGUGAAAUCCCCGGGCUCAACCUGGGAAUGGCAUUUGUGACUGUAGAGCUAGAGUACGGUAGAGGGGGGAUGGAAUUCCGCGUGUAGCAGUGAAAUGCGUAGAUAUGCGGAGGAACACCGAUGGCGAAGGCAAUCCCCUGGACCUGUACUGACGCUCAUGCACGAAAGCGUGGGGAGCAAACAGGAUUAGAUACCCAGGUAGUCCCUGAGCGGGCUGGCAAGGCGCAU